CCUACGGGUGGCAGCAGUGGGGAAUAUUGGGCAAUGGGCGCAAGCCUGACCCAGCAACGCCGCGUGAAGGAAGAAGGCUUUCGGGUUGUAAACUUCUUUUAAGAGGGAAGAGCAGAAGACGGUACCUCUUGAAUAAGCCACGGCUAACUACGUGCCAGCAGCCGCGGUAAUACGGAGGUGGCAAGCGGUGUCCGGAUUUACUGGGUGUAAAGGGCGUGCAGCCGGGAAGACAAGUCAGAUGUGAAAUCCCGCGGCUCAACCGCGGAACUGCAUUUGAAACUGUUUUUCUUGAGUGCACACAGGGAUGCCGGAAUUCAUGGUGUAGCGGUGAAAUGCUUAGAUAUCAUGAAGAACUCCGAUCGCGAAGGCAAGUGUCCGGGGUGCAACUGACGCUGAGGCUCGAAAGUGCGGGUAUCAAACAGGAUUAGAUACCCCAGUAGUC
rnacentral:rRNA from 1 species